rnacentral:rRNA from 1 species
GUAAGGAAUAUUGGGCAAUGGAGGCAACUCUGACCCAGCCAUGCCGCGUGAAGGAUUGACGGCCCUCUGGGUUGUAAACUUCUUUUGUACGGGAAUAACCCUCCGAACGUGUUCGGAGCUGAAGGUACCGUAAGAAUAAGGAUCGGCUAACUCCGUGCCAGCAGCCGCGGUAAUACGGAGGAUCCAAGCGUUAUCCGGAUUUACUGGGUUUAAAGGGUGCGUAGGCGGAUUGAUAAGUCAGUGGUGAAAUCCUGCAGCUUAACUGCAGAACUGCCAUUGAUACUGCCAGUCUGGAGUAUGGUUGAGGUAGCUGGAAUGUGUCAUGUAGCGGUGAAAUGCUUAGAGAUGACACAGAACACCGACGGCGAAGGCAGGUUACCAACCCAUUACUGACGCUGAGGCACGAAAGCGUGGGGAUCAAACAGGAUUAGAAACCCUGGUAGUCC